AGCGCCCCGGCGCGCCCCCGCCGGCCCCAAGACCCGCUCGGCAGAGAAAAAACCGCCAGGAGGAAAAGUAGGUAUCUUCAGAGCAUGCCACUUUUCCGUGUGCUUUUCACCUACGCAGUAAUAAUAGCAACAGCACUUAUUAUUGCUAUUAUUAUUAUUAUUAUUAUUAUAAACAGUAUAAUAAUUUUUUCUAGUUUUUGUAGCGGUCUUGAUGAGUAUUCUGUGCUUUUAAAUUUUUUCUUUUUUUUUUUAACCCUUUGCUUUGAGCUUCAGGUUUACAGCAGCUCCUCAUGUGUAGCUGAGACAAUGCCAAGGAGUAACUACCCCCAUCCGUCCGUAUCUGCAGCAGAGCAAAUGUGGUAUAAAUGGGACAGAAGCCGACGGGAGAAGGUGUGCGAUAGAUGACAACAUGGUAAGAACAGCAGAUGGACUAGAACAGGACCCUGUGCAUGCAAUUUUUUCUUCUAAUGAAAAGAAAAACCCUAUAAGGGAAGAUGGCCUCUGGAAUAAAAGAAGGUAAACAAGGAAUGUGUUAUGGAAA
rnacentral:lncRNA from 1 species